GACGAACCGUGCGAACGUUAUUCGGAAUCACUGGGCUUAAAGCGCGUGUAGGCGGAAGGGCACGUCUGGUGCUGAAAUCCCCCCGGCUCAACCGGGGAACGGGCACGGAUACGACUCUUCUGGAGGAACGUAGGGGGACCUGGAACUUCCGGUGGAGCGGUGAAAUGCGUUGAGAUCGGAAGGAACGCCCGUGGCGAAAGCGAGGUCCUGGACGUUUACUGACGCUGAGACGCGAAAAGCCAGGGGGAGCGAACGGG
rnacentral:rRNA from 1 species